rnacentral:rRNA from 1 species
AUUGAACGCUGGCGGCAGGCCUAACACAUGCAAGUCGAGCGGAUGAAGGGAGCUUGCUCCUGGAUUCAGCGGCGGACGGGUGAGUAAUGCCUAGGAAUCUGCCUGGUAGUGGGGGAUAACGUCCGGAAACGGGCGCUAAUACCGCAUACGUCCUGAGGGAGAGAGUGGGGGAUCUUCGGACCUCACGCUAUCAGAUGAGCCUAGGUCGGAUUAGCUAGUUGGUGGGGUAAAGGCCUACCAAGGCGACGAUCCGUAACUGGUCUGAGAGGAUGAUCAGUCACACUGGAACUGAGACACGGUCCAGACUCCUACGGGAGGCAGCAGUGGGGAAUAUUGGACAAUGGGCGAAAGCCUGAUCUAGCCAUGCCGCGUGUGUGAAGAAGGUCUUCGGAUUGUAAAGCACUUUAAGUUGGGAGGAAGGGCAGUAAGUUAAUACCUUGCUGUUUUGACGUUACCAACAGAAUAAGCACCGGCUAACUUCGUG